rnacentral:rRNA from 1 species
AACGAACGCUGGCGGCAUGCCUAACACAUGCAAGUCGAACGAGACCUUCGGGUCUUGUGGCGCACGGGUGCGUAACGCGUGGGAACCUGCCCUUAGGUUCGGCAUAACUCCCCGAAAGGGGUGCUAAUACCGGAUAAUGUCUUCGGACCAAAGAUUUAUCGCCUUUGGAUGGGCCCGCGUUGGAUUAGCUAGUUGGUAGGGUAAAAGCCUACCAAGGCGACGAUCCAUAGCUGGUCUGAGAGGAUGAUCAGCCACUCUGGGACUGAGACACGGCCCAGACUCCUACGGGAGGCAGCAGUGGGGAAUAUUGGACAAUGGGCGAAAGCCUGAUGCAGCAAGGCUGCGUGAGUGAUGAAGGCCUUAGGGUUGUAAUGCUCUUUUAACCGGGAUGAUAAUGACAGUACCGGGAGAAUAAGCUCCGGCUAACUCCGUG